rnacentral:rRNA from 1 species
CAAAGGUGAGCCAGUACAGGAUGGACCCGCGUCUGAUUAGCUAGUUGGUAAGGUAACGGCUUACCAAGGCGACGAUCAGUAGCCGACCUGAGAGGGUGAUCGGCCACAUUGGAACUGAGACACGGUCCAAACCCCUACGGGAGGCAGCAGUGGGGAAUAUUGCACAAUGGGCGAAAGCCUGAUGCAGCAACGCCGCGUGAGUGAUGAAGGCCUUCGGGUCGUAAAACUCUGUCCUCAAGGAAGAUAAUGACGGUACUUGAGGAGGAAGCCCCGGCUAACUACGUGCCAGCAGCCGCGGUAAUACGCAGGGGGCUAGCGUUAUCCGGAUUUACUGGGCGUAAAGGGUGCGUAGGCGGUCUUUCAAGUCAGGAGUGAAAGGCUACGGCUCAACCGUAGUAAGCUCUUGAAACUGGGAGACUUGAGUGCAGGAGAGGAGAGUGGAAUUCCUAGUGUAGCGGUGAAAUGCGUAGAUAUUAGGAGGAACACCAGUUGCGAAGGCGGCUCUCUGGACUGUAACUGACGCUGAGGCACGAAAGCGUGGGGAGCAAACAGGAUUAGAUACCCUGGUAGUCCACGCUGUAAACGAUGAGUACUAGGUGUCGGGGGUUACCCCCUUCG